rnacentral:misc_RNA from 1 species
GAACGGCGAUACGUAAUGCGAAUCGCAGGCUUCAAGCGAGUCAUCGAGUCUUUGAACGCACAUUGCACCCGCCGGCCAAUCCGGCGGGUCUGGCCGUCCGAGCGUCAUUGCACCACUCGGCGUCGCGAGCAAACCCCCCAGGCCCCCCCAGGGUCUGGAGGGCGAGGCCGGCACCGGCGUUGGGGGGCUGCGGCGCGGGCCGCACCCCCGAAAUUCAGCGGUGGCACCGCCCGCGAGUACCGGCGCGCAGUAGGCUCUACGCGGCAAACCACGCCAGGGAAAGCGCGGCGCGGGCCAACCCGGGAACAAGAAUACAGGUGUGACCUCGGAUCGGGCAGGGAUACCCGCUGAACUUAA